rnacentral:lncRNA from 1 species
AGCCCUGUUCCUGCUCCGGCUCCUGCGGGGAUGGAUGCUUCACGCAGUAAGCGAAAGGGGCUGUCCGAAAUAGAGACUGCUCCUUCAGCCUGGACCCAACUGCGAAGAAGCCACAUGGAACAGAGCUGCAGCUAACCUGAAGUCUGUGUGAACUGAGUGCAAGAGACAAAUGUUUGCCACUGGAAAUCACGGAGAUCUGGGGAUCAUUUGUUACUGCAGCCUCUAGCAGAAGCUGACUGAUACACAGAGGGAAUUGGGUGCUGGGUGGGUGGAAACAGUAUAUAUGCCCCAGAGAGGCCAACUCCAAAAGCUGUGUGAAUUCAGAGAGAAACACCCAUGGCUUAAGGCUUGAAACAAGAGGCAGGAGGUUGGGGGAUAUUGGUUUUUGGUGAACUUACUGGGCUUGCUGAGGCAGAGCAACACCUGUUUCUCUGGGCCAUUACUACAAAGGUCAGAUUGCGAGUCUUGUCCUAGAUUCAGCCUUCUUUGAGAGUUUUCCUUAAGACACAGUUUGAGCAGAUUACUUUCUUGCUUAGAAUCCCUCAGUAGGUCCCCACUGCCCCAGGAUAAAGUCUAGACCCCCAAGCACGUCCUGCACGGCCUUGCUGACAUGUCUGAGUCUGGGCAUUGUACUAGUGAGCCACAAAGUGUGCAGGUCCUGGUGCCCACCCCAUCUCCACUGCUGCCCAGGGCGCAAAUCCACAUCACCCCUUAGCUGGACUAGGGCUAGUGCCUCCUAACUGGAAGGAUUCCACUCAGCUCCCUUCUAAUCCACCGUCCACCCAGCCACUUCUCAAAUGUAAACCCAGUCUUGUUGCCAUCCUACUGUCACGUAUACAAUAAAAUCCAAACUCAUUCUGGAGUGGGUGGGGCGGCUUGUAUUUUCCAAAACUGACCACAUUUGUAUUCUCUUCUUACAAUGUGAUGCUGACACUCCUCCCAUGGAGGGGGCUCUGUGUCCCCUCCCCUCAUUGUGGGUGGGCUUGUGACUAUGGUGAAAAAGACACUCCUGAGGCGAGAUCAUGAGAGGUGACAUGACUUCCUCCUGGCUGUCUUGGGACAUGCACUCCUGGAAUCCAGCCCCCUGCCAGGAGAAAUCUCGAGCAGGCUGUGUGGAAAGGAAGGCAGGUGUCUGACCACAGCCGAAGCCAGCAUGAGAGUGCGCUGCCUGGGAAGUGACCUCUCCAGCCCCUGACCAGCCGCCCCAGCUGACUGCAUGGAGCUGUUGGUGAAGGAGACUCAUAGAUAAAGGUGCCUUCAGGAAGGAGAGAGAAGGGGAGGGAGACGGCUGGGGGAGAGGAGCGCCAUUUCCCAUGCUCUUACUGUAUGCAUGGCCACCUGCACAUAGGAUGCCUUUCUUAUGAGAGAAACUGAGGCUUCAAGAAGCCAGCUCUUUUAUUUGUGGCCACCCUGAUGGCAAGUUGACACCUAUGGGUGAAGUCCAGCUCCUCUAGGAGGCCCACCCCCUCUUUCUGCCCAUUUAGAUCCUUCUCUUCCUCUACAGGCCCUGGACCCCGUGAACCUCUCAGCUGCCUUGUCAGUGAGGAAGUGUUUUGGCCAGCACCUCUGCUCUAGUGACUUAGUAGACUCUUUCUUCUUGGGUGUUUAUUCUAGAAGAAUGGUGCCAUGGGAGAGGGCACUGUGGUGGGCAGGGACGUGUGGGACUCCUAGUCAGGGUGGGGUCAGCCAUUUCCCAACUCUGCCUUGCAGUCAGAUUCCCAUGUGGAUGUGGUCUCCUUGGGAAUGCGUUCUGCUUCCCCGGCUGGAGCCAGUAGCGUAAGGUGGAGGAAG